CCUUACAGUGGUGUGUUUAGAGAUGGCUCCACUAUAUAACUUAUACAUAGUAAGAUACAUACCCCUGAUUCUUACUGUUUCAACAGCAGGCAGUUUCGCAGAUACAAUUGGGCCAAAGGAUGAAGAUGCCAGCAUUAUCAGUGAAGAAACAAACACUGUUACACUGAAAUGUUCAUAUGAGACGAAAAGCAAUUACAUUCUGCUUUACUGGUACAAAAAAUAUUCUAACAGUGCACCACAGUAUUUACUGUAUAAAGGCGCAAGGUCAAGAUCUGACAAGAGCACUCCUACUGAUGGUCGAUUAGAGUCAAAAACAACCAGAGACUCUACUGAACUCACUAUCAGAGGCCUAAAGCUCUCAGAUUCUGCACUCUAUCACUGCGCACUUAGAGACGUAGCACAGUAA